AUUGAACGCUGGCGGCAGGCCUAACACAUGCAAGUCGAGCGGAUGAAGGGAGCUUGCUCCUGGAUUCAGCGGCGGACGGGUGAGUAAUGCCUAGGAAUCUGCCUGGUAGUGGGGGAUAACGUCCGUAAACGGGCGCUAAUACCGCAUACGUCCUGAGGUAGAAAGUGGUGGUUCUUCGGACCUCACGCUAUCUGAUGAGCCUACGUCGGAUUAGCUAGUUGGUGGGGUAAAGGCCUACCAAGGCGACGAUCCGUAACUGGUCUGAGAGGAUGAUCAGUCACACUGGAACUGAGACACGGACAAGAAUACUAAGGGAGGCAGCAGUGGGGAAUAUUGGACAAUGGGCGAAAGCCUGAUAAAGCAAUGCCGAGUGUGUGAAGAAGGUCUUCGGAUUGUAAAGCACUUUAAGUUGGGAGGAAGGGAAGUAAGUUAAUACCUUGAUGUUUUGACGUUACCAACAGAAUAAGCAACGGCUAACUUCGUG
rnacentral:rRNA from 1 species